rfam:Capsicum annuum cultivar Zunla-1 chromosome 5, whole genome shotgun sequence
UUGAGUCGUAUGCGGGGGAACUCGCAUGUGCGGUUCUUAGGGGGGAGCUAUUAGGAGUCAUCCCAUCCUAAU